UCUUCCCCACUGAGGAAUAUGUUCUUUGAAACCCAGGCAAUCAAUACUCCAACAACAACAAAAAAACCAGCCAUUACACCAACAGAAAAAAAAAACCCAACCAGCUUUUGAUCUCAUUGCCACCUUCAAUUUCUUUCAAAUUCAGAAACCAAUUAAAACCUCCAAAUUUGCAAAAGCAACCUCCAACAGAAUCAAUGGUCACUCGCGCACCCAACAAACUGCAAUUUCGUGCUUUACAGGGAAAUUGGUGCUGCUCUCUCUCUCACAACUUCUAAUCCAUUGAAACUAAAAACCUAGAUGAGAUUUCUCCCAUUCUGGUGUGAUCUGCCACUAUAGGUAGGGGUGGGUUCAAAUAACCGAAAACCGAAAAAAAUCGAAAACCAAACCGAACCGAGGGCGAAAAAAACCGAACCGAAACAAAACCGAACCGAAACUGUCAAACCGAACCGAACCGAAUCUGGCUGGUUCGGUUUCGGUUUUUAAGGUUCGGAAACCGAACCAAACCGAACCGAACAGAUAUAUAUAUAUUUAUAUUUUUUUUCAAUAUUAUAAAUAAUUUAGUGAUACAAUCAUAACAAGACAUAACUUGUUACCAAGUUGGUUUGCUUGAAACUUUUCAAGCCUUUGCCUUUUCAAGCCUUUGCCCAUGGGUUCGAAUCCUCAUGCCUCCAGGGUUUCAGAAAAUUUUUUUAGUUUUUUUGAGCAAUCAACAAACCUUUUAACUUAAAAUUAAAUAUAAAUACUUAAAACCUGCUGUUGUGAGGAAUCGAACCCCUUCCAGGGGGGAUAAUUCCUUCAAGCCAACUUGACUGUAGGCUUGUUGUUGCUAUAUCUGUACCAGUAUAUGAUUUAUAGGUAUUCUAAUCGCUAAUGCUUUAUAAAAUUUGUUAAGUUUACAAACCCUAGGUCGCCUAUGCGUUGAGCUUGAGCUUGAAGACUUGGAAGAUUUUAUUUGUGCAAGACAUGAAGUGAUGAAACCUUGAAGGUUUAUUUGACUUGUGUGAUGUUUAAAUUUGCACUUUUUGAAGACUUAAACUUUGAUGUUUAAUUUGGACUUUUUGAAGACUUAAACUUGAUUGAUGAUUGAUUCUAUUUCUAGUUGGACUUUAAAUGUUUAUUUUCAUUUUUUGAAGACUUUUAGUUUUAUGAGACUUUAUGUUUUUAGAUUAAUUAGUAAGUUUUAUGAGACUUUAUACGUAGAGAUGGAAACAUGCCAUAUUUUCUAUUUCUAUCUUAUGUUGUGGUUGUUUUGCAUUUUUUGGAGGAAAAAAAAACCGAAAAAAAACCGAAACCGAACUGAAAAAACCGAACCGAAAAAAACCGAAAAAAAUUUGGGCCGAACCGAAAUUUCGGUUUGGUUUUGGUUUUGGCAAAAAACCGAACCAAAAAGAACCGAACCCAGCCCUAACUAUAGGUGUAUGAACAAGAAUGCCGUGACAUGGUUUCGAUUCGGCACCUCUGGUUUUGUGUUUGUAUCUACUUAAUGUUGAUUGGUAGUGAUGAGGGAGAAAGAGAGAGCAAUAAUUCCUUGAUUGAGGAGUUUACGAUGCGCAUGAGCGAGCGUUGGCAUGAACCCAACUAAUAAUGCAAAGGAUUUGGGGAGGAUAAGUAGCUGUGUGUAGGGUGUAUUAAAUUAGCAGAGGCAGACUAAUUAUCCGGUGGCUAUUUAACCCAAACACACACCAAACACCAUACUCUGUAUUAUUAGUACUAUCCGGUACCUUACACAGUGUGUCAAACAGGGCCUUAGAUCACGUUGGACCACUUCAGACAUUCAACUAUUGGGGUGCUUUGGGUCAUUUGGAUUGGUAAUGGGCUAAUAUUAUGUGGGAUUUAAUGCAAACAGUCAACAAUCUAUGGGAAAAGAUUUCCAUGUGUUACACAACUCUAUCCGUUUAGGCUACUUGCCAUGUAAAAAGCAGGACUGAUGAGCGGGGAACAAGGUAUAAAAUAUCGAUAUAUAAAUUUAUGAAAAUAUCGACAUACAAAUCUAUAGAAAUAUCAAUGGAUGUAAUGAUAUCGAUUGCCUUGAAUGGAAAUUAUGAUUUUUUACACUAGAGUGAGUAUAUCAACUCAUUUAGAUUUUAGUCGAAAUUAAAGAAAGAUUUAUGGCCUGUUUGGUAUCCUAUUUGAAAUUUUUUAUCAUUUCUCAAAAC
rnacentral:lncRNA from 1 species